UACAGAGGUCCCGAGCGUUGUUCGGAUUCACUGGGCGUAAAGGGUGCGCAGGUGGGUUGGCAAGUUUGAUGUGAAAGCCCUGGGCUCAACUCAGGAAUUGCAUUCGAAACUGGUAGGCUCGAGUACGGGAGAGGGAUGCGGAAUUCCAGGUGUAGCGGUGAAAUGCGUAGAUAUCUGGAGGAACACCGGUGGCGAAGGCGGCAUCCUGGACCGGCAUUGACGCUGAGGAGCGAAAGCCAGGGGAGCAAAGCGGG
rnacentral:rRNA from 1 species